UAACAAGGAUUCCCCUAGUAACUGCGAGUGAAGCGGGAAAAGCUCAAAUUUAAAAUCUGGCAGCUUCGUUGCCCGAGUUGUAAUCUGGAGAAGCGUUUUCCGUGCUGGACCGUGUACAAGUCUCUUGGAAUAGAGCGUCAUAGAGGGUGAGAAUCCCGUCCAUGACACGGACUGCCAGUGCUCUGUGAUACGCUCUCGAAGAGUCGAGUUGUUUGGGAAUGCAGCUCAAAAUGGGUGGUAAAUUCCAUCUAAAGCUAAAUAUUGGCGAGAGACCGAUAGCGAACAAGUACCGUGAGGGAAAGAUGAAAAGCACUUUGGAAAGAGAGUUAAACAGUACGUGAAAUUGUUGAAAGGGAAACGCUUGAAGUCAGUCGCGUCUUGCUUGACUCAGCCUUGCCUCGGCUUGGUGUAUUUCAAGUAGGACGGGUCAACAUCGAUUUUGACCGGUGGACAAGGGAGGGAGGAAUGUGGCACUCUUCGGGGUGUGUUAUAGUCUUCUUUCAUAUACAUCGGCUGGGAUCGAGGCCCGCAGCGCGCCCUUGUGGCCGGAGGUUCGCCUCACGUAUCGCGCUUAGGAUGUUGGCAUAAUGGCUUUAAGCGAC
rnacentral:rRNA from 1 species